rfam:Mustela putorius furo unplaced genomic scaffold scaffold00024, whole genome shotgun sequence.
AGCUUGGCGCAGUGGCAGUACUGUAGCCAAUGAGGUUUACCUGAGGCACAAUUAUUGCUAAUUAAAUGUUAGGUAGAAUUCCCCUGGAAGUCAUCUGGCCCUGGACUCUAGUUUGAUGGGAAUUUUUGAUUACUGCUUCAAUUUUCUUGCUG